UGAUAGCUGUGAAACGUGAGGUUGCGCUCUGUCCAGUGGAGCGGUCAUUCCGUGGAGCGAAAGUCAGGAGGGAAC
rnacentral:ncRNA from 1 species